GCCGCGAACUCUACGGGCGCCCGGCGCCGCCAUCUUGGCUGCCGUUAACUGCGUGUGUGACUUUUGUUUGUUUACUCAUGGCAACAGUUGAUAUGGACGGACAACUCUGUUUUUAGCCUUCUCCCCUCUGAAAAAAAAAUCAGAGGAAAAAUUCAGAUGGAAAAAAAUCAGUCAUUGAAAUAAUGAGUAAUUAAAAUUCUGAUAAAAAAAAAAAAUCACAUAAAUGUUCACGUAAAGGAGACAGGAGUGAACUCUGCGCAUGUACAAGAGGAACGGAGGCGGGAAGCCGUAGCCGAGCCCAUUUCGAACUUUGUUUGAAACACACAGUCAGUUGAAGCCGUUGAAGAACAGCGUGAAGAUGGAACCUGCUACUGAGCACAUCAACUCUUAAGUGUGUCCCUGGAAGAUCUACCAUCAACUUCCAGAACUGCAACUGCUAGUACUGUCAGAUGGUGAAUGCUACUCAGGCAAACACCAUUGUUACACCACUUUGAAGGAGAGCCUGGUCAUUUGGUCCCCUCAGCUUCUCCCUUUCUCAGUGAUAUGUUCAUUGUGGCUGGGAUAAUUGUGGGGCACUCUUUCCUUCAUGGAGGACCCUGCUUGUCUGGACUCUGUGAUGUGGUUGUCCAUACUGCUUCGUGGGAGCCCAGACACGGCUACAGUAAACCUGGAGGACUGUGCAGACCUGGACAUUAGAGAAACAAUCAGGCUUCUGGAGGUGGAAUCAAACCUAUCAGCUGAAGAAAUGGGAAGGGUACAGAACGUGGCCUCUUCCUGGGACCUCCCUCCGCUAACCACAACCAACAGGGCCCUUAAUGCUCUGCGGUGAAAAAUGGAGCAACAAGGCUGACCGUGACAUCGGGAGAGCUGAGGCAGAUCAUCUUAAACAUGAUGCACCUGGACGGUCCGGUGGCGGAGACUUCAAGAAUUAAAUAAAAUUACAAUGAAAUGGAUAA